UUAAAGGAGGAGCUUAAGGCCAAAUACAAAGAAACUUAUCUAAGGCUAUUUGAUUAUAUGGAGACAAGACUGGAAAGCAAGCAACUUUACUUCGUUGGCGAUAGGCUUACUCUUGCAGAUAUUGCUUGCUUUGUUUUCCUGGAAUCCCCAAUCGAUUUAGAUGCUGACUUGCUGAAGAACUACCCAAAGCUAGAUACCGUUCGUAAAAAUGUGUCUCAAAUUUCCUCUGUUGCUGAUUACCUGCAGAAACGUCCUGUAACCGACUUUUGAAGGAAAAUGCAUAAAUGAAAAUUUUUGAAAUAAAAGAAUUCUUUUUAAAAUUUUAUUAAA